rnacentral:rRNA from 1 species
GAUGAACGCUGGCGGCGUGCCUAACACAUGCAAGUCGAGCGAACAGAUGAGGAGCUUGCUCUUCUGACGUUAGCGGCGGACGGGCGAGUAACACGUGGAUAACCUACUUAUUAGACUGGGAUAACUUCGGGAAACCGGAGCCAAUACUGGAUCAUAUGUCGAACCGCAUGGUUCAAUAGUGAAAGACGGCUUUGCUGUCACUUUUAGAUGGAUCCGCGCUGCAUUAGCUAGUUGGUAAGGUAACGGCUUACCAAGGCGACGAUGCGUAGCCGACCUGAGAGGGUGAUCAGCCACACUGGAACUGAGACACGGUCCAGACUCCUACGGGAGGCAGCAGUAGGGAAUCUUCCACAAUGGGCGAAAGCCUGACCGAGCAACGCCGCGUGGGUGAUGAAGGUCUUCGGGUCGUAAAACUCUGUUGUUAGGAAAGAACAGAUGUAUAAGUAUCUAUGCACGUCUUGACGGUACCUAAACAAAAAGCCACGGCUAACUACGUG